GUUCGAUAAAAAAAGAGCUAUAAAAAUUACAAAACCGGCUUCGAAAUUGCCAUUGUAUAUCUAACCAGCAAACUGAGCACACCAACGUGAAGAAGCAUUGUAGCUCAAUAUGAAACAUUCGACACAAUUAAAAAGACGAAGGGUAUAUCAUAUUCGAUAUGACUCAGGGGAUUCAGAUUCAGAGCAUCCAUCGAACAUCAAUUAUCACCGUUGGAUUCAUUGUUUAUUCUGCAGAAAAAUCAUUAAAGGUGUUUCAUGAAGUUCAACACUUGGUUUUUGAUCUUCUACGGAUGCAAAUCAGGUCAACAUUCGAAACAGUUCAUGGACCUGAGUUGAAAUUUGAUGAACCAGAGUUAAAAGUGGAUCCAGGAAGCGUUGUCAACCAUUUGAUUGAUCGCGUCAGUGAAUUUAUCAAACUGGGUGCUCAAUUGCAGUACAUCUCGAGCGUAACAAAGGUCCCACGAGAUAUGAUCGUUUCACCUGGAUGUACGUCACCAGGGGAAGGAAUGGUCCAUUUAGUUUGUGUGCACCUAAACAAAGAACUGGAACAGGAUAUCAGAGGAAUGUUUGACAAUUUCUUAAACGUUUUUUUGAGCCAAGUAAAAAAUAUUCCUAGCUUCGUAAUUCUUGAAAUCAGUCAAAAGUUUAAUGAGGUUCAAUGGGGACUUCUCAAGGCACUUGCAUCAAUCGAUUUUUCCAAAGAAAAAGUGAAUGAUAAUGAUAUUUCCAAAAUAAAAUCAAUAAAAAGUAGUUUUUUGAAAGCCAUCGAUAAUCAAAUGCAAGCUUGUCGCAAACAUAUUGAAAAGAUAUCCGGCGAUAGAUAUAAUAAGCACUACAAAGCGGUACUAGAAACAGAGCUGCAGGUGCUUACAACAACAUUUCAUGAAAUGACCAAACUAAGUGAAAGUGAUUUGUUUAGCAAAGCUCGCGAAGGAGUUCCUUUCGAAACUGGAAUGACAGUUUUUACGGAAAUUUUAAUUGCGAUUGGUCUUACAACAGUCACCGCCCUCGUAUUUUUAUUCUUAAAAAAAACUCUUUUUUGAUGACUAUUGGGAAUAUACUAUAGGGAAUAAGUACGGCAGAGUGAAGAGAGAGAGAAAAUGAAACGAGAGAGUACGUGUAGCGAAAUGAGAGUGAGAUUAGCCGAGAGAGGAGUUCAUGUUGUAUGCAUGAAUGAGCGAAAAUAAAUCAGUCGUGUGUUUUGUUUGAGCGUGAA